rfam:Elusimicrobia bacterium RIFOXYB2_FTLL_48_7 rifoxyb2_full_scaffold_12672, whole genome shotgun sequence.
GCGGGUGUAGUUCAGUGGCUAGAACGACUCGUUGCCAACGAGUAGGUCGAGGGUUCAACUCCCUUCGCCCGCU